UACGUAGGGUGCAAGCGUUGUCCGGAAUUAUUGGGCGUAAAGAGCGUGUAGGCGGCCUGGUAGGUCAGUUGUGAAAACUCGAGGCUCAACCUCGAGACGCCGAUUGAAACCACCAGGCUAGAGUCCGGAAGAGGAGAGUGGAAUUCCCGGUGUAGCGGUGAAAUGCGCAGAUAUCGGGAAGAACACCCGUGGCUAAGGCGGCUCACUGGACCAUAACUGACGCUGAUGCACGAAAGCUAGGGGAGCAAACAGG
rnacentral:rRNA from 1 species